CCUACGGGAGGCUGCAGUGAGGAAUAUUGGUCAAUGGCCGUAAGGCUGAACCAGCCAAGUCGCGUGGAGGAAGGAGGGUCUAUGGUUUGUAAACUUCUUUUAUAGGGGAAUAAAGGUAUCCACGUGUGGAUAUUUGCAUGUACCCUAUGAAUAAGCAUCGGCUAACUCCGUGCCAGCAGCCGCGGUAAUACGGAGGAGGCGAGCGUUAUCCGGAUUUAUUGGGUGUAAAGGGUGCGUAGGUGGUUUUUUAAGUCAGCGGUGAAAGUUUGUGGCUCAACCAUAAGAUUGCCGUUGAAACUGGAAGACUGGAGUGUGGUAGGGGCAGGCGGAAUGCGUGGUGUAGCGGUGAAAUGCGUAGAUAUCAGGAAGAACACCGACGGCGAAGGCAGCUUGCUAGGCCACGACUGACACUGAAGCACGAAAGCGUGGGGAGCGAACAGGAUUAGAUACCCUAGUAGUC
rnacentral:rRNA from 1 species